ensembl:snoRNA
AUGGGGGGGGGUCAUAAACAUGAUGAUUAAGUAUUCACAUCGAUGGGUGACAAUUACCUCCCUCAAACCUUAUUAAGAAGUCAGGUACAUUACCCAUCUGACA